rnacentral:rRNA from 1 species
CGUAGGGUCCGAGCGUUGUCCGGAAUUAUUGGGCGUAAAGGGCUCGUAGGCGGUUUGUCACGUCGGGCGUGAAAACUCAGGGCUCAACCCUGAGCGGGCGUCCGAUACGGGCAGACUAGAGGUAUGCAGGGGAGAACGGAAUUCCUGGUGUAGCGGUGGAAUGCGCAGAUAUCAGGAGGAACACCGGUGGCGAAGGCGGUUCUCUGGGCAUUACCUGACGCUGAGGAGCGAAAGCAUGGGGAGCGAACAGGAUUAGAUACCCUGGUAGUCCAUGCCGUAAACGUUGGGCGCUAGGUGUGGGGACCUUCCACGGUCUCCGUGCCGCAGCUAACGCAUUAAGCGCCCCGCCUGGGGAGUACGGCCGCAAGGCUA